AUGGCGGCGUCCCCCACCCCCGGCGGCGGCCUCGGGGCCAUCCUCGCCGCCGGCGACAGGGACUACCUCGUCCGCAACUCCGGCGAGCAGGUGAAGAUCAGCAGCAUUGAGGGAGACACUGUAGCUAUCUAUUUCUCGGCCUCAUGGUGCCCGCCAUGCCAGCGGUUUACACCAAAGCUUAUUGAAGCAUACACAGAACUUACCUCAAAUGGCAAGAGCUUUGAGGUGAUCUUUGUUUCAGGCGACCGAGAUGAGGAAGCAUUCAAUGCCUAUUUUGCAAAGAUGCCGUGGUUGGCAGUUCCUUUCUACGACUCCGAAGGCCGUAAAAGCCUUGAUGAGCGGUUUGACGUCAACGGUAUUCCACACCUUGUUUUCCUUGAUGCAAAAACUGGCGAAGUUCUUACUGACGAAGGAGUUGAGUUUGUGAGUGAAUAUGGAAUAGAAGCUUAUCCUUUUACAACUGAGAGGAUCAAUGAAUUGAAGGAACAAGAAAAGGCUGCUAAGGAUAACCAAACUAUUCAUAGUGUGCUUGCUACACCAAAUCGUAACUAUGUAAUUUCAAACACGGGGGAGAAGGUACCCAUCGUUGAUCUUGAGGGGAAGUAUGUUGGUAUAUGCUUUGUAGUGAACGGCUACCCUCCAGUUGAGGAAUUUACCCCAGUGCUUGCCAAGAUAUAUGCGAAACUCAAAGAAGUGGGGGAGAAGUUUGAAGUUGUAGCUACACUGAGCAGCAAUAUUGCAGACAUAAUCAAUGAGCAUGGUUUGGAUGCAUGGGAGGGGUUCCCCUUCAAUGCAGAGAAGCUGGAAAUUCUAGCUGAGAAGGCAAAGGCUAAAGCAGCCUCACAGACAUUGGAGUCCCUUCUGGUUACUGGUGACGUGGACUUUGUCAUCGGGAAAGAUGGAGCAAAGGUUCCUGUAGCAGAACUUGUUGGGAAGACUGUCCUCCUCUACUUUUCAGCUAAAUGGUGUGGGCCAUGCAGAGCCUUCCUGCCUACACUUGUGGAUGUCUACAACAAGAUCAAGGAGAAGAACAGCGAUUUCGAGAUCGUCUUCGUCUCUAGCGACAGGGACCAGAGCUCAUUCGACGACUUCUUCUCUGGCAUGCCAUGGCUCGCCAUCCCCUUGGAAGACGAAAGGAAGGCGUACCUGAAAAAGAAGUUCAAGAUCCGUGGAAUCCCUUCUCUGGUCGCCAUUGGCCCCGAUGGGAAGACGGUCAACACGGACGCGAAGACUUCGCUGGCGGUCCAUGGCGCCGACGCGUUUCCGUUCACCGACGAGAGGAUCCAGGAGCUGGAGAAGAAGAUCGAGGAGAUGGCAAAGGGGUGGCCUGAGAAGCUGAAGCACGAGCUGCACGAGCACGAGCUCGUGCUGAUCCGCCGCCCCAGGCCGUACGGCUGCGACGGGUGCGAAGAGAUGGGCACCUCCUGGUCCUACAACUGCGCGGAGUGCGACUUCGAUCUGCACACCAAGUGUGCGCUGGGUGAGGAGAAGAAGGGAGAGGAGGUGAAUGGGCAGGAGCAUGCUGCUGCCCCAGCUGGGUACGUGUGCGAGGGAGACGUCUGCAGGAAGGCCUAG
rnacentral:rRNA from 1 species